rnacentral:rRNA from 1 species
GACAGAGGGUGCAAACGUUGUUCGGAAUUACUGGGCGUAAAGCGCGUGUAGGCUGCUCGGAAAGUCGGAUGUGAAAGCCCUGGGCUCAACCUAGGAAGUGCAUUCGAAAACUUCUGCUCGAGUGUCGGAGAGGAAGGCGGAAUUCUCGGUGUAGAGGUGAAAUUCGUAGAUAUCGAGAGGAACACCUGUGGCGAAGGCGGCCUUCUGGACGACAACUGACGCUGAGACGCGAAAGCGUGGGGAGCAAACAGG